CUUGGCCUCCCAAAGUGCUGGAAUUACAGGCAUGAGCCACUGCACCCAGCCUGGAUUUCUUUUUUUAAAGUGUGCAGUUCAGUGAUAUUAUCCCAUGUGUUUGGUUCGGAUUAUUCUGUGUAAAUUGGAUUUGUCUGAAAAGAAACUCCACAGGAGGCAGAAUUACUCUUAUUUAAAAUACUCAUGUUUUCAGUGGUGGUACACAAAAAUUCAUAGAAGAUUAUGAAAUGACCGGGUGCAGUGGUGCAUACCUGUUAGUCCCAGCUACUUGGGAGGCUGAGGUGUGACGAUUGCUUGAGCACAAGAGUUCGAGACUAGCCUCAGCAACAUAGCAAGACCCUGUCUCUUAAAAAAGAAAGAAUAUUAUGAAAUAUGAGGUUUUUUAAAUUAUAAAAAGUGAAUGUUUUUCUGUUCAUUUCUACCCGGUUAAAAAAUAAUUAUCCUCCUUUGUGCCGAUUGUUUUUAUUAGACAGAUUCUUUGAAAGAGCGAAUCUAAGUUGUGGUUUUAGUCAUUUAGGAUUCCUUCAGGUGGUGUUAGUACAUGAAUUCAGCCAAUUCUAUUUGUUUAUUUGUUACUAUUAUUAAUAAUAACAAUAGAGACAGAGUCUUGCUGUGUUGCCCAGGCUGGUCUCAAACUCCUGAGCUCAAAAGAUCCUUCUGCCUUGGCUUCCCAAAGUGCUGGGAUUACAGGCCCUCAGCCAGUUUUCUUUGAGUGCAGACUCAGUGUUUUCUCCAUUUACACACUGGAACUAAGGCAAAAGAGGAGGGUAAGGGAUGUGAUUGGGGUUACACUUUGCUUGUACUUUUUCCCUACUUCUAGAGCCUGGUCCUGUACACUUUUUGUGAUAGCCAGUGUUACUCUCAGCAUCUCACUGUCCCUUGAUUUGUUCCUCUUACUGGAAUUAAGGGAGGAUUAUUGAGCCUUAAAACUUAGUUUUGUCUUAGUGUGACUGAAAAGUAUUGGUAUAACUUUCCUUGUCAUAAUCUUUGCCAUUCAUGUGACUUAUAGGGAUUUGGAGAAAAAUAUUCAGAUAGCACAAUAUCAUUAACCUAAAUUUGAAGACAUUACUAGCAACACCUUUUUUUCCCCCAUCACAAGUAUUUUUGUUAGUCCCCAAAUUAGUAUUUUUGGUUAAAUAUGUCAUUGCAGAUCCAAAGUUUUACUUUUUAUAUACUGUUUAUUGGGUUGUAUAAAGUCGUCUCUCAUUCCAAAAGAAUAUUUUUGCUGUCAAAAAGUCUCUGAGUAAAUGGAAGAUAUAGUUGUUUGACAUCAGAAAAAGAUGAGUUAUAAUUUCUAUAGUUUAUCUACUACAUGUUGGUGUUUAUGCUCAGAAAAAUUUAAAUAUUUGUCCUCAACUACCAAAAACUUAAAGUGGUUAAACAUAAUCAUGUUGUAAGAUUUAAUUAAAAAUUUUUGUACUAAAGGGAAGUUGCUAGGAAAUAGAGCAAUAAUUUUUGUUAAUUUGGAAACCAUGGCAACACAGUAAAUAUUAUGUCUCCUAAUUUGUCUUUCAGUGUUUUUUUGGCAUGAGUGUCAUGGAAGAGUAAACAAAAUUAAACACAGUGAACUCUGAGUCUUUGCUACCUGAGUUAGUCAUUUUCUUUGAAUGUUUUACUUUCUCAAAUUUUGUAUUUCAAAUUUCUUGAAAUUAAAGCAUAGUCUUUAAAGGCCUAAAUUGUACAUUAUCUCUCUUUUGUCCAUGCCAGUUGCAUAGGUUUUAUAUUAUGGAUGUAUGUGCGGCUGGCAAUUCCAGACCUUGUUGGCUCAGUUUGGUGCAUUUCUGUCAAAUUAUGAGUUGUAAAUUUGCCUCCUGUAAAAUAGCAGUUUUAGCACCAUCAACACUGUGAUACAAAAGUUUUAAAGCUAGAGGAUUUUCUUCUUUUAAAGUCAUUUGAGUGUGUUUUCAUUUACUACUGUAGUAUUUUGUUUUGUUUUGUUUUGUUUUUGACAUGAGGUCUUGCUAGGUUGCCCAAGCCAGACUCGAAUUCCUAGGCUCAAGUGAUUCUCCCACCUUGCCUCCUGAGUAGCUGGGAUUACAGGCACCACUACCAUGCCUGGCUUGUUUUUGAAAAACAUUAAGAUUUUGGCAAUAAUAUAAGUAUCCAUGAGUCCAACACCCAGCAUUAUCAAAUGUUAACAUGUUGUCACAGUUGUUUCAGAUCUUUUCUUUAAAAUAUUAGGAAGAAAGGAAGGGAGAAAGAGAUAUAAACCAAGUUUAAGGUCCUUUGUUUCGUUCCCCAGGCCUAUCGCCCUCCUUCCUCCUAUUAAGGAAUCAGUGUGAUAAAAUAAAAAUGUGCCCUUCCUGUUCAUGUUUUAAAAGUUCUAAUGACUUCUGGUCCUGCCACCUGGAGCCAAUGUCGCUAUGAGGGGCCGUGUCUUGCCACCACUGCCCAGGCCAGGCAUGGCGUUGGGUGUCAGGCCUGCCUCACAUGUCUUGGGGUGCCCAGGGUAAAGGCAGGAGUAAUACUGACACCUGUAAGCAAACUGAAGUGCAAUGACAGUCUCAAAGGGUCUGGGAUGUCAGCCAUAGCAUCUGGCCCCACUCAGAGGGUUCUGUGAGAGACAAGUUGAUUGUUAAAGAGGUUGCAGAGCUUGAGCUUAUUUACCUUGUACACGUCAAGUGUAUUUCCUGAUCUAAAAAGCUUCAUUGCUUUCUGCUGACUGUAACCCCAGACAAGGGUUACUACCAGGGUGGAAAAUUUCAGCUCGAAACUGGACUUCCUAAUGCAUGUAACAUGGUGCCUUCCAAAGUCAAAUGCCUGACCAGGAUCUGGUACCCCAACAUCACAGAGAUGGGGGAAAUACAUCUAAAGUUUACUGAGGACAUUCGAUUGACAGCACUGGCUGGGCUCCCACGAGAACAUUGAAGGAUGUUGUUUGGAGAUUAAAUUAUUUGUUUACUAAUCUUCUGAAUUUUGACGAUCCACUGAAUGUUGAAGCUGCAGAACAUCAUUUGUGGGACAAGGAGGACUUCUUGAAUAAAGUAGAUGACUAUGUCAAGUGUUAAUGCCAGAUGAUAAAAGAAGAUUGCGGGCCCGUGGAUUGUGUGUUAUAGUUUGUCUCUAGCGUGAAAAAGCAGCAAGAGGCAGCGCCUCCUCUCCCCUGUCCCCUGAUUCUCCCUCUCAGUCCCCCUGCAUUGUCCCAGUCCUGUGACCAUGUUGUCCUGAAGAAGACCAUCCUCAUGACUGCCCAUUGUAGAUGGAGAAUUCAACAUAAAGACAGCAAGAAAACGUAUUUGGGUUUCUAAAGAAUUAUCUGCUUACCUUAUGUUUUAGGCUGUUCUUUCAUUGCUAAUAGACAAGACUGAGUAAUUUAUAAAGAAAAGAGGUUUAAUUGGCUUAUCGUUCUGCAGGCUGUGCAAGCAUGGCACUGGCAUUUACUUAGCUUCUGGGGAGGCCUCAGGGAGCUUUUACUUAUGGUGGAAGGUGAAGCAGGAGCAGGCACGUCAUGUGGUGAGAACAGAAAUGAGAGCGCAAGGGGGACAGCCAGAUCUCAUGAGAACUUAACUGUUGUGUGGACACACCACACUGUGAGGGAUCCACUCCCGUGACCCAAAUACCUCCCACCAGGCCUUACCUCCAAAACUGGGGAUUACAUCUCAACAUGAUAUUUGGAAGAGACAUCUAAACUAUGUCAUCUUAACAUGUUUACUUUUUUGAACUCAUAUUGUUUAGGCUGUUGGUGAUAUUCUUGAGAAGUUGUAAUGGACCCAAAAUUGAGGCUGGAGCUUUCUUAUUCUUUUCCCAAACAAAAUUGGUUUUCUGCUGAAGUGAUGCUCAUGAUGUGUUCGGUGUAACGUGCAGAUUGGAAUAAGAAACCUGCUACAAAUUGUGAUUGGAUGCAAAUGCCCUUAGUGUCCUCUGUGCAUGUUGGCUCUAUCUAGAUGUCGUGAAGUUUCCCAGAAUGCAUAAAGUCUUUCACUGUAGACAUUUUUAUUGAAAUGCAUAUUUUAUUUAAUUUAAGUAUAUUUUGAACCAAUUAAUUUUUUACAAUGUAAUGCUUUA